GUGGGGAAUCUUGCGCAAUGGGCGAAAGCCUGACGCAGCCAUGCCGCGUGGAUGAUGAAGGUCUUAGGAUUGUAAAAUCCUUUCACCGGUGAAGAUAAUGACUGUAGCCGGAGAAGAAGCCCCGGCUAACUUCGUGCCAGCAGCCGCGGUAAUACGAAGGGGGCUAGCGUUGCUCGGAAUUACUGGGCGUAAAGGGCGCGUAGGCGGACAGCUUAGUCAGAGGUGAAAGCCCAGGGCUCAACCUUGGAAUUGCCUUGGAUACUGGCUGUCUUGAGUUUGGGAGAGGUGAGUGGAACUCCGAGUGUAGAGGUGAAAUUCGUAGAUAUUCGGAAGAACACCAGUGGCGAAGGCGACUCACUGGCCCAAGACUGACGCUGAGGCGCGAAAGCGUGGGGAGCAAACAGGAUUAGAUACCCGGGUAGUCC
rnacentral:rRNA from 1 species